rnacentral:rRNA from 1 species
UACGUAGGGGGCGAGCGUUGUCCGGAAUCAUUGGGCGUAAAGCGCGUGUAGGCGGCCCGGUAAGUCGGCUGUGAAAGUCAAGGGCUCAACCCUUGAAAGCCGGCCGAUACUGUCGGGCUAGAGUCCGGAAGAGGCGAGUGGAAUUCCUGGUGUAGCGGUGAAAUGCGCAGAUAUCAGGAAGAACACCUAUGGCGAAGGCAGCACUCUGGGACGGUACUGACGCUGAGACGCGGAAGCGUGGGGAGCGAACAGGAUUAGAUACCCUAGUAGU